rnacentral:rRNA from 1 species
GGGCCCUACGGGGGGCAGCAGUAGGGAAUCUUCCACAAUGGACGAAAGUCUGAUGGAGCAACGCCGCGUGAGUGAAGAAGGUUUUCGGAUUGUAAAGCUCUUUCGGAUGUGACGAUGAUGACGGUAGCAUCUAAAGAAGCCCCGGCUAACUUCGUGCCAGCAGCCGCGGUAAUACGAAGGGGGCAAGCGUUGUUCGGAAUUACUGGGCGUAAAGGGAGCGUAGACGGCGAAGCAAGUCUGAAGUGAAAACCCAGGGCUCAACCCUGGGACUGCUUUGGGAACUGUUUUGCUAGAGUGUCGGAGAG